rnacentral:rRNA from 1 species
UACGGGGGGGGUAAGCGUUGUUCGGAAUUACUGGGCGUAAAGGGCGCGUAGGCGGCGCAACAAGUCACUUGUGAAAUCUCCGGGCUUAACCCGGAGCGGCCAAGUGAUACUGUCGUGCUAGAGUGCGGAAGGGGCUACUGGAAUUCUCGGUGUAGCGGUGAAAUGCGCAGAUAUCGGGAGGAACACCAGUGGCGAAGGCGGCACUCUGGGCCGGUACUGACGCUGAGGAGCGAAAGCGUGGGGAGCGAACAGG